rnacentral:rRNA from 1 species
UACGGAGGGUGCAAGCGUUAAUCGGAAUUACUGGGCGUAAAGCGUGCGUAGGUGGUUCGUUAAGUCCGUUGUGAAAGCCCCGAGCUCAACUUGGGAAUUGCAGCGGAUACUGGCGAGCUAGAGUGCGGUAGAGGAAGGUGGAAUUCCCGGUGUAGCGGUGAAAUGCGUAGAUAUCGGAAGGAACACCUGUGGCGAAAGCGGCUCACUGGACCACAACUGACGCUGAGGCACGAAAGCUAGGGGAGCAAACAGG